AAAGAGRAGUUUACAACCCGAASGGCCUUMUCCUCCACGCGGCGUCGCUGCMUYAGGGUUUCCCCCAUUGUGCAAAAUUCCCCACUGCUGCCUCCCGUAGGAGUCUGGACCGUGUCUCAGUUCCAGUGKGGCCGUUCGACCUCUCAKUCCGGCUACCCGUMUUUGGCUUGGUGGGCCGUUACCCCACCAACUACCUGAUAGGCCGCAGGYCCMUCCUUAAGCGGAUUGCUCCUUUUACCACAGACAUCCCAGCCCGUGGUCUUAUGGGGUAUUAGCUCAAGUUUYCCUGAGUUGCCCCCCGCUUAAGGGAAGGUUACCUACGUGUUACUCACCCGWCCGCCACUCCGKUSGACRAGCUCAGGGUGAACCCCACUACGAUAUCCACUGUGAGCCUGUCGAACAGCKUUCGAGUU
rnacentral:rRNA from 1 species